rnacentral:rRNA from 1 species
CCUACGGGGGGCAGCAGUGAGGAAUAUUGGUCAAUGGACGCAAGUCUGAACCAGCCAUGCCGCGUGCAGGAAGACGGCUCUAUGAGUUGUAAACCGCUUUUGUACGAGGGUAAACGCAGAUACGCGUAUCUGUCUGAAAGUAUCGUACGAAUAAGGAUCGGCUAACUCCGUGCCAGCAGCCGCGGUAAUACGGAGGAUUCAAGCGUUAUCCGGAUUUAUUGGGUUUAAAGGGUGCGUAGGCGGCCGGUUAAGUUAGGGGUGAAAUUCGGGGGCUCAACUUUGGAAUUGCCGUUGAUACUGUGGGGCUAGAGAAUGUUUGAGGAAGGCGGAAUGUGGGGUGUAGGGGUGAAAGGCUUAGAGAUCACGAAGAACCCCGAUUGCGAAGGCAG